GAUGAACGCUAGCGGCAGGCCUAAUACAUGCCAGUCGAACGAGAUUAAGAGGCUUGCUUCUUAUGAAAGUGGCGCACGGGUGCGUAACGCGUAUGCAACCUACCUUAAUCAGGGGGAUAGCCCGAAGAAAUUCGGAUUAAGACCGCAUAAAAACACAGGAUAGCAUUAUCCAAUGUUCAAAUAUUUAUAGGAUUAAGAUGGGCAUGCGUGUCAUUAGCUAGUUGGCGGGGUAACGGCCCACCAAGGCGACGAUGACUAGGGGAUCUGAGAGGAUGACCCCCCACACUGGUACUGAGACACGGACCAGACUCCUACGGGAGGCAGCAGUAAGGAAUAUUGGUCAAUGGAGGGAACUCUGAACCAGCCAUGCCGCGUGCAGGAAGACAGCCCUCUGGGUCGUAAACUGCUUUUAUUCGGGAAUAAACCUUUCUACGUGUAGGAAGCUGAAUGUACCGAAGGAAUAAGGAUCGGCUAACUCCGUG
rnacentral:rRNA from 1 species